rnacentral:rRNA from 1 species
AUGGCCUACGGAGAACCUGGGCUAGUGGCAAGGAUCAAUCCCCGUCUUCUUCCGAACCUCUCCCAUUUAGAACUAUUUGUAUGCACCUCGGAACUGGAGGUCUUUGGAAAUUUCCGAGAGCUUGUUACCCUGAAGUUGUGCUCGUGGUCAGCUCUCCACCAUGACACCAUGGGUGGUGCAGGUGCUUUCCCCAAGCUAAGGGUAUUCAAGACAGAAGCAACGAUUGGCUCAUUUUUAAAGGGAGAUAUGCCGAUCCUUGAAUCUCUCCAGUUUCGCGUUGUAGCCCAAUCCAAUGGUGAUGGCGUUAGCUUUGACUUUGACUUUGCUAGCCUAGGGAACCUCCCUUUGCUUCAGUUUGUCAAAGUCUUUUUACUUGCCCAUCCUGCGGACCACAAGAAGGCUGAGGAAACGGUGAGGCGUGCAAUUGAUAUGCUUCCCAACCGUCCCAGCCAUCGUAUCCAUUCAUAUGAUAUAAUAAUAAAUAGGAGCUAA